AGAACGAACGCUGGCGGCACGCCUAACACAUGCAAGUCGAGCGCCCAGCAAUGGGAGCGGCGGACGGGUGAGGAACACGUGGGAAUAUGCCUUUCGGUUCGGCACAACUGCGGGAAACUGCAGCUAAUUCCGGAUACGCCCUUACGGGGAAAGAUUUAUCGCCGAAAGAUUAGCCCGCGUCUGAUUAGCUAGUUGGUGAGGUAAUGGCUCACCAAGGCUUCGAUCAGUAGCUGGUUUGAGAGAACGACCAGCCACACUGGGACUGAGACACGGCCCAGACUCCUACGGGAGGCAGCAGUGGGGAAUCUUGGACAAUGGAGGAAACUCUGAUCCAGCGAUGCCGCGUGAGUGAUGAAGGCCUUCGGGUUGUAAAACUCUUUUACCAGGGAAGAUAAUGACUGUACCUGGAGAAUAAGCUCCGGCUAACUUCGCGCCAGCAGCCGC
rnacentral:rRNA from 1 species